ACCAGGUUCCUGGCCCAGGUAGGGAGGGCUUUAGGGGCACAAGGUCCAGGUCUGUCAGUGACUCAGGGGCCCCAGAAGGCUGCGCUGGGUCUCUUUUCUCUGCCCAUGCCAGACAAGAAGUGUAACCUGUCGCUGAGGUGCUGAGGCAGGCAGAGCCACGGAAGAGGCAAAUAUGGACUGCAUUCCUGAAUGGAUAUACACCGACAGGUACAGAUCCCGAGGUGGUAUGUUCUCUGGACCUUCAAUACUGCGUUCUGGGAGAAGGCUGGCCAUGGAAAGACCUCCAAAAUACAAGAGUGAGAAAAGCCAGGCACAGUGUGAUUCAGACUGCACGAGACGAGACUUUCGUCUGAGCCCAUGAGCCCACGGGGACCGCCAGGACGAACGCAACAAGAGAGCUCACGGCCCCUGUGUUCACCUGAAAAUUCAGCAAGGGGAUGAUGCCAAAGAAGGCAAAGACCUAUAGGAACUGAUGUCCCUAAGCUGUCGAAGCAACUCAGACAGAGCUGUGGAUGGCUGUGCUGUGGCUGCAGAGGAGCUCCCAGACCCGCUGACUAUACCGAAGGUUCCAGGAGGCCCAGGGCCCAGAAUCCGGCGGGGAGGGGAGCACCAGGCGUUCUGGACCAGAGCUCUGGUCCUUGGAUCCGGGCAGAAGACACCUCACCACCACCACCCCAGCCCUGCGCUGCCUCUCUGGAGUACCUGGUCGCCGACACCCAAGCCGUAGUAGCCGUGCGUCACCACCUCCCAGUGCAGGAAACAGAUGAGCGCGUCCUGCCCGCAAGUGAUGGCCGGCGCCGCCGACGCGAACAGUACCUCCAAGCCCGCCAUGGGCUCCCUCGGCUUCUGCAGGCGGAGGAAGGAAGGGAGAGUGAGUGUCGUGAGCGGACUCGGCCCUCAGAGCGCUGAGGGGUCCGCUCUGCUCCUCUGCCCGCCCAGGCCUAGUGCCGACCUGCCGCCAAAAUGGAGCCGCCCCGGGGGCGGAACAGAGCCGCCGGAAGUGACAACAAGCGCCUGCCCAGUUCCCGAGUGCUCCGACUGGAAACUCGAGCCCAGUGCUUGAACGUUCCGCUACGCAGCUCGCAGGCGGGGCGGAGCGGGGCGGGGCGCGGCCCUUUAGAGCUCUUGUCUCCUUUCACCAGGUGGCUGGAGAGACCCACCCUCACAGGAUCCUAGGUGAGGUCUUCCAGGAGAGGCUACCUUGUUCUAGGCCACAGAUUUCCCAUCCUCAGAAUGCUGGUGGAGAAAGAGUUUAUGAAAUAUGGCUAAAAUACAUGAAUAAUAAUAGUUGGCACUUGGGAAA